AGCCACCGUGCACAGCCAAGACACAAUUUUAAAUCGAGCGGUCAGGAAGCCUCCUGGAGAAAAUGACGUUUGAACAAAGACAUGAAGAAAGUGGAGAAUAUUUGGAGAAAAGCAUUUCAGGCAGAGGAAAGUGCCAGGGCAGAGGCCCCGAGGUGCUGCUGACAGCCAUCGUGUGCUGCGGAGGAAGAUUGCCUGAGAAUGGAGCCAUUCAGGAGGAAAUGGGGCAGAGAAAUAAAGAGAAAUCAAAUCCCAUCUUUUCAGUCCCGCUUCCCUCACUCCCUCAUCCAUUCUUCCUGGCAGACUAUUCAGUUGUGCUUUUUAAGAUUUAUUCUGUUUUUGUUUUUCACCUAAGACGGUUUAGCUUGUUUGUUUUUCUCUUGUUUGCAACCAGUGUGUUCUAGCGGUUAUUACGAAUUUAAUAGACUUUAUACAAGAUUUUGUAAAGGGCAGA
rnacentral:lncRNA from 10 species